rnacentral:rRNA from 1 species
GCAGCGUGUCGGAAUCACUGGGCGUAAGGGUGCGUAGGCGGUUCUACCAGUCUGGGGUGAAAGGCCAGGGCUCAACCUUGGGAAUGCCUUGGAAACUGUAGGACUUGAGUGCUGGAGAGGCAAGGGGAAUUCCACGUGUAGCGGUGAAAUGCGUAGAGAUGUGGAGGAAUACCAGUGGCGAAGGCGCCUUGCUGGACAGUGACUGACGCUGAGGCACGAAAGCGUGGGGAGCAAACAGGAUUAGAUACCCUGGUAGUCCACGCCGUAAACGAUGAGUGCUAGGUGUUGGGGGGUACCACCCUCAGUGCCGAAGGAAACCCAAUAAGCACUCCGCCUGGGGAGUACGGUCGCAAGACUGAAACUCAAAGGAAUUGACGGGGGCCCGCACAAGCAGUGGAGCAUGUGGUUUAAUUCGAAGCAACGCGAAGAACCUUACCAGGGCUUGACAUCCCUCUGACGGUAUCAGAGAUGAUACGUCCCUUCGGGGCAGAGGAGACAGGUGGUGCAUGGUUGUCGUCAGCUCGUGUCGUGAGAUGUUGGGUUAAGUCCCGCAACGAGCGCAACCCUUGACCUGUGUUACCAGCACGUAGAGGUGGGGACUCACAGGUGACUGCCGGCGCAAGUCGGAGGAAGGCGGGGAUGACGUCAAAUCAUCAUGCCCCUGAUGUCCUGGGCGACACACGUGCUACAAUGGGCGGCACAACGGGAAGCGAGAGAGCGAUCUGGAGCGAACCCCUGAAAACCGCUCGUAGUUCGGAUUGCAGGCUGCAACUCGCCUGCAUGAAGCCGGAAUUGCUAGUAAUCGCGGAUCAGCAUGCCGCGGUGAAUCCGUUCCCGGGCCUUGUACACACCGCCCGUCACACCACGAGAGUUGGCAACACCCGAAGUCGGUGGGGUAACCCGAGAGGGGGCCAGCCGCCGAAGGUGGGGUCGAUGAUUGGGGUGAAGUCGUACAGGUAGCCGUAUCGA